CCUACGGGAGGCAGCAGUGGGGAAUAUUGCACAAUGGGCGAAACCCUGAUGCAGCGACGCCGCGUGAAGGAAGAAGUAUUUCGGUAUGUAAACUUCUAUCAGCAGGGAAGAAAAUGACGGUACCUGACUAAUAAGCCCCGGCUAACUCCGUGCCAGCAGCCGCGGUACUACGUAGGGGGCAAGCGUUAUCCGGAUUUACUGGGUGUAAAGGGGGCGUAGGCGGCGUUGCAAGUCAGAAGUGAAAGCUCGGGGCUCAACGCCGGGACUGCUUUUGAAACUGUGUUGCUAGAGUGCAGGAGAGGUAGGUGGAAGUCGUGGUGUAGCGGUGAAAUGCGUAGAUAUUAGGAGGAACACCAGUGGCGAAGGCAGCUUACUGGACUGUAAAUGACGCUGAGGCUCGAAAGCGUGGGGAGCAAACAGGAUUAGAUACCCCAGUAGUC
rnacentral:rRNA from 1 species